AAGCCUGGGAAACUGGGUCUAAUACCGGAUAUGACAAGGAACCGCAUGGUUUUUUGUGGAAAGGGUUUGUACUGGUUUUAGAUGGGCUCACGGCCUAUCAGCUUGUUGGUGAGGUAAUGGCUCACCAAGGCGACGACGGGUAGCCGGCCUGAGAGGGUGACCGGUCACACUGGGACUGAGACACGGCCCAGACUCCUACGGGAGGCAGCAGUGGGGAAUAUUGCACAAUGGGCGCAAGCCUGAUGCAGCGACGCCGCGUGAGGGAUGACGGCCUUCGGGUUGUAAACCUCUUUCAGCAGGGAAGAAGCGAAAGUGACGGUACCUGCAGAAGAAGCGCCGGCUAACUACGUGCCAGCAGCCGCGGUAAUACGUAGGGCGCGAGCGUUGUCCGGAAUUAUUGGGCGUAAAGAGCUUGUAGGCGGUUUGUUGCGUCUGCUGUGAAAGACCGGGGCUUAACCCCGGUAUUGCAGUGGGUACGGGCAGACUAGAGUGCAGUAGGGGAGACUGGAAUUCCUGGUGUAGCGGUGAAAUGCGCAGAUAUCAGGAGGAACACCGAUGGCGAAGGCAGGUCUCUGGGCUGUAACUGACGCUGAGAAGCGAAAGCAUGGGGAGCGAACAGGAUUAGAUACCCUGGUAGUCCAUGCCGUAAACGUUGGGCAGCUAGGUGUGGGGGACAUUCCACGUUUUCCGCGCCGUAGCUAACGCAUUAAGUGCCCCGCCUGGGGAGUACGGCCGCAAGGCUAAAACUCAAAGGAAUUGACGGGGGCCCGCACAAGCGGCGGAGCAUGCGGAUUAAUUCGAUGCAACGCGAAGAACCUUACCAAGGCUUGACAUAUACUGGAUCGCCUCAGAGAUGGGGUUUCCCUUCGGGGCUGGUAUACAGGUGGUGCAUGGUUGUCGUCAGCUCGUGUCGUGAGAUGUUGGGUUAAGUCCCGCAACGAGCGCAACCCUCGUUCUAUGUUGCCAGCACGUUAUGGUGGGGACUCAUAGGAGACUGCCGGGGUCAACUCGGAGGAAGGUGGGGAUGACGUCAAAUCAUCAUGCCCCUUAUGUCUUGGGCUUCACGCAUGCUACAAUGGCCGGUACAAAGGGUUGCGAUACUGUGAGGUUGAGCUAAUCCCAAAAAGCCGGUCUCAGUUCGGAUUGGGGUCUGCAACUCGACCCCAUGAAGUCGGAGUCGCUAGUAAUCGCAGAUCAGCAACGCUGCGGUGAAUACGUUCCCGGGCCUUGUACACACC
rnacentral:rRNA from 1 species